rnacentral:rRNA from 1 species
CCUACGGGAGGCUGCAGUGGGGAAUAUUGGACAAUGGGCGAAAGCCUGAUCCAGCCAUGCCGCGUGUGUGAAGAAGGCCUUCGGGUUGUAAAGCACUUUCAGUGGGGAAGAAAGCCUUGGGGCUAAUACCCUCGAGGAAGGACAUCACCCACAGAAGAAGCACCGGCUAACUCCGUGCCAGCAGCCGCGGUAAUACGGAGGGGGCGAGCGUUAAUCGGAAUUACUGGGCGUAAAGCGCGCGUAGGCGGUCUGAUAAGCCGGUUGUGAAAGCCCCGGGCUCAACCUGGGAACGGCAUCCGGAACUGUCAGGCUAGAGUGCAGGAGAGGAAGGUAGAAUUCCCGGUGUAGCGGUGAAAUGCGUAGAGAUCGGGAGGAAUACCAGUGGCGAAGGCGGCCUUCUGGACUGACACUGACGCUGAGGUGCGAAAGCGUGGGUAGCAAACAGGAUUAGAUACCCGAGUAGUC